ensembl:lncRNA
CGGAUUUCUUCUUUCUGCUGCUCUCAUCGCUCAGAGGUACGUGACCAAAUGCCAUGAGAGGCAAGUGGAAGAAGAAGCGUAUGCGCAGAUGUCUGCCUGAUCUCAAACUGAUUUCCUGUGUACCGACCUAUCGACUAGUAAAGCCCAGUCAUUCUACCCAGACUUCUGCCUCCCGACUCGUGCUAUUGAACUGAAGCGUAAGAGGAGAAAGAUGAGGCAAAGAUCAAAGUAGACGCUGGUCCCAGCAGCAGCAGCGGUGUUCCUGUGUGGUGAUGCGCUGAGCGGCCAGGAGUCCACAGCAGCCUGGAGCCGAUCUUAAAGAGGAUAAUGCCCAGUGCUGGAUGACACCCCUGAUCCUUGACCAGCGGCUGUAGAUCUCUGGGACAAACCAAUCUUUACAGCAGACAAUCUUUACAGCAGAACCAGUGCUGUUUAACGCAAUAAUAAAUUAUG